UUUUUUCUUCUCCUUC
rnacentral:sRNA from 1 species